GGCCGCCCCUGCCCCGCCGAAUGGUUGCUUCUGGCCCCCGCAUACCGCACAUUCCACGGUGCAGCCAGCAGCUCCCUGCGCACCAGCGGCGGCAGCACUUCGCCCCUGGGCCAGGCGCUCCGCGGCCAGGAGAUUUGCAAUGGCAUUUUCAGAGGAGAAAGUGUGUUAGCCUUGAUGUCCUGGCCAAAGUAGCAUUCAGCCUACCAAAAUCCUCCCUGCAUAUCCAAAUGGAUAAGAUUGGAACCAUCCCUUCAACUGUGCAUCCGCCAUAAAGGCACCGAGAGGAGCAAGGAACACAGAGUACAACUAGAACAGAUCAUACGAGGUGCCAUUUAUGAUGACUUUCUAAUUAUGAAGCUGCAACUUGUAGACCGAUUGGACAGUCCUCCAGAAUUCCAUCAAUUGCUGUGAGAAGUCCGGGAGGAGGAGGAAAAGAGAACUAUUAGAGAGAGGAAUAAGAUCUCAGUAAGUAGAACCGUUGCUCCUAACAAACUGAAGGAUGACCCUUGUCUGUCCACCACUGAGGACCUCCAUCAACAGCUUAAAACUUUGACAGCACAGCUCACUGAAUUUAUGACAAGUAAGAUGACUCAGAGGUCACCUAGCGAAAUUCUUCCACCAACUUUGACAGAAAGAAAGUACCCUUCCUUUUGCCCAGGGAGAGGGGACCACAACAGAGAACCUGUAAAUAAAACCUUGGCGACCCUCCCAAGGAACAAGAGAUUCUGCUACCGAUAUGUGAGGAAAGGUACAUUGCCACCCAGCGUGACAACCCGAGGAACGAAGAGAAGGUAGCACAACGAAAAAGGGAGUUACAGGGAAACUCCCAAGGAUCCCAGUAAUGGAACAUACUGGGAGCCAUUACAGUCAGAGCUCCACUACGUUGUGUUAUGAACAGCCUUCCUGGAGCCCAUUCCCAGAGGGAUUGAUAGGCCCAACAGCAGUAGUUAAUGUAAAAUGGUAGAAGGGAUUCCUUGUAGGGCCUUGCUGGACAGUGGAUCUCAGGUCACCAUCAUUACUAGAGAAUUCCAUCAGCAAUUCCUGCUUCAAGUGAAGAUCUAGCCUCUAGAGCAGGGGUAGGCAACCUGCAGCACGCAAGCUGAUUUUCAGUGGCACUCACACUGCCCGGGUCCCGGCCACCGGUUCGUGGGGGGGGCUCUGCAUUUUAAUUUAAUUUUAAAUGAGGCUUCUUAAACAUUUUAAAACCUUAUUUACUUUACAUAAAACAAUAGUUUGGUUAUAUAAUAUAGAAAGAGACCUUCUAAAAAUGUUAAAAUGUAUUACUGGCACGCAAAACCUUAAAUUAGAGUGAAUAAAUGAAGACUCGGCACACCACUUCUGAAAGGUUGCUGAUCCCUGCUCUAGAGGGAUUGGCAAUAUGGGACCUUAGCAAUGCUAGUUACCUGUACGAUGGAUAUGUACUAGUGACUAAGUUUUUCUGCAGAAAUGGUUGGAUGUUUCCAGGAUUGUGAUACUCUGGCUUUGAUUUGUCCUGAGACGCAAAAUUCUGAUGGCAUUCCCAUAUUGAUUGAAAUCAACAGCAACAUGUUCCAGUCUUUGGCCACUCUUUGUGGUCGUUUGGGCCAAAAGACCGCAGGCAUGGUUUCGCCCUCCAUUGCAAGAGCCGACCCUGGGCUCAUCCACAACGUAUUAUGACCACGAUAGCUCUGUUGAUGAGUCACUAGGGAAAGUUGUAAGAGUAUCCAAAGCUGUUUUGUCCAUACCCCCACAUGGUGAGAUUGACUUGAGAAGAAAACUUGAGAAGCACAGUCGCAGCCUUCCUCAUACAGUGAUGAUGGUGUCCUCUGCUGGAGAUAACUUCCCUAGUGGUCUGAUGGUUCAGAGAGGUUUACUGUCCUUACUACAGAUGGAGGAAGUUGGCAUUAUGGUAAGAGUAAGAAAUGAAAACAACCAUCCCAUAGCCAUCAGGAAAGGAACAGUGUUGGCAUGAUUGUAUAGGGUAGAGAGUGUUGUGAGCCCUGCAACUGCAGGCAGAAAGCCCUGUAAGGCAUUGGAUCCUGAUCUUUGUAAUUCUGGUGAUUCUCCUAUGUCUCCCAGUUGGAAUGACUGGUUGAAAAAACAGCUAAGUGAGAGACCUGAUGUGUUUUCCACUGAGGAAUGGGAUGUGGAGUAUGCCAUUAACGUGGAACACACCAUUCGUUUGGCAGAUGACAGGCCUUUUAGGAAGAGGUCCCGAAGACUGGCACCUGCAGACACUGAGGACGUGAGAAAGCAUAUCCAAGAACUACUGGAAGCAGGAAUAAUUUCUGAAUCCCGUAGCCCCUAUGCAUCCCCCAUUGUGGUGGUGUGGAAGAAAAAUGGGACUGUGUGUAUGUGUGUGGACUAUCGCAAACUGAAUAAAAGGACCAUCCCAGAUCAAUACACUGUACCCAGGGUAGAUGAUGCCUUAGCUUGCCUAGCAGGAAGCAGAUGGUUCUCUGUCUGAGAUUUAUGAAGCGGCUACUACCAGAUCCCGAUCAGCUCUGAAGACAAGAGAAAACAGCUUUCAUUUGCCCUUUGGGAUUCUACCAGUUUGAGAGGAUGCCCCAAGGUAUCUUGGGAGCUCCUGCUACAUUCCAGUGUUUGAUGGAGAAGACAGUGCCGGAUAUGAAUUUCUUAGAAGUGCUGGUGUAUUUGGAUGACUUCAUUGUUUUGGGGAAAACUCUGGAAGAGCAUGAAGCUCGACUAAUGAAAGUGUUAGACCACCUGGAAGCUAGUGGGUUGAAACUGUCACUUCACAAAUGUCAAUUUUGUCAGACCCGAGUAAAAUAUGUAGCCAUAUUGUGUCAGCAGAAGGUGUGGCGACUGACUCAGAGAAGAUUGAGGCAUUAACCACCUGGCCUAUACCCAAAGACCUGAAAGCUUUACAGUUUUUCCUAGGCUUCUGUGGUUAUUACCACCGAUUUGUAAAAAAUUGCUCCUCCAUUGUGAGACCACUCACCAAUUUUACAAGGGGAUACCCCCCAACAUGGAAGAGAACACCCCAACAUAAGCUUGUGAGUCCUCCUGAGAGGUAUUUCAAGGUGAAUGAACCCUUUGGGGACCGUUGGACUGAGGAAUGCAACAACACUUUCCAUGCCCUUAUUGAGAAUGUCACCACUGCACCUGUGUUAACCUUUGCAGACCCUACCAAGCCCUAUGAACUGCAUGUAGAUGCCAGUCUUGAUGGAUUAGGAGCAGUUCUCUAUCAAAAUUAUGAGAAUCAGUGGAAACCCGUGGCCUUUGUCAGUCAAGGGCUGACUGCAUCUGAAAGACACUAACCCAUGCACAAACUUCAGUUUUUAGCUCUCAAAUGGGCUGUUGUGGACAAACUUCAUGAUCAUCUAUAUGGAGUGACCUUUGUAGAAAAACAGAUAAUAACCCACUUACUUAUGUGCAGACCACAGCUAAACUAGAUGCUACUGGUCAGCGAUGGAUGCUUAUGGUUUGGUUGCUUAUGACUUUAAGCUGCAGUACUGAUCGGGUCAAACCAAUGCAGAUGCAUUGUCCCUUCACCCUCAUAACCCACUCGAGGAAGAGUCUGAGUGGAUGGAAAUACUUUCUGCUGCUAUUUGUGCCACCUGCAAGACCAUAAUAGGAAAACUGCAGUCCCAUUAUAUAAAUGAGGAAAGAUAUGCCGACACCCUGGGGUUAUCUGACAAGGCUAUACCCACAAUUUAUGCAAACCUUGUUGGGCUAAAGACUUUUGAAUUGCCCCAGAUAACUCCGACUGAAUUGAGAAGAGCUCAGUGGAAAGAUUCAGACAUUUGGCCUGUGCUGGAAGCUGUGGAAAAGGGUGAAAAACCCAUCUCCAAGGCUAACUUUGCCCCCGGCACAAUUCUUUUCUUAAAAGAGUGGGAUCGUUUAGUGAUUAUUCCGGACCAUCCAGACUAUAAGGGGCCAUGUGCAAAAACAACUGGUCUUACCCCGGGAAUACCAGGAGAUGGUGUUGAAGUCUUUGCACGAUGACCAUGGUUAUUUGGGGGGUAGACAAGACUUUGGAAUUGGUCAAAGACUGGUUUUAUUGGCCCAAAAUGACAGCAUCUGUGGAAAACCACUGCAAACGGUGCUCUUGGUGUGUUAAGCGGAAGACCCUGCCACAAAAGGCAGCAUCUAUGGUGAACAUCACUACAGAUGCACCCAUGCAGUUCAUGUGCAUUGACUUUUGUUUUGGAGCCUGAUAGAAAAAAACACUCCAGUAUAUUGGUAGUUACUGACCAUUUUACAAGGUAUUCCCAAGCAUAUCCCACAAAAGACCAAAAAGUCAGUACAGUGGCCAAAAUUUUAUGGGAUAAAUUCUUUAUACAUUAUGGUUUCCCUGCCUGAAUCCAUUCCGACCAGGGAAGAGAUUUUGAAAGCAGACUACCGGUAAUUUACGAACUGACAAAAACCCUGGGAAUAAGGAAGUCCAGAACCACUCCUUACCAUCCUCAGGGAGAUCCACAACCGGAGAGAUUCAACCAGACUUUGCAAAACAUGUUGGGAACUCUGCAUCCAUCCCAAAAGACCAGAUGGAGUGAGCCAUGUCAGUUACCUUGUGCAUGCUUAUAACUGCACUAAAAAUGAGUCCACUGGCUUUUCGCGUUAUUAUUUCAUGUUUGGUAGAGAAGCAAGGCUACCAAUUGACUUAUGUUUCGGGAUAUCCUCUGAUGAAGCUAGCAAAAAAAAGGUAUCUCCAGUACAUUCAGAGUCUUAGACGUGACUUGCAGAAAGCUUACAAACUGGCCUCUCAAGCAGCCAGAAAAAGCAACCUUGCCAACAAGCAGAGAUGUGACAGUCGGGUCCGUGAACAGGAUCUGCAGAUAGGAGACAGAGUCUUAAUCCAAAAUCUAGGUCUCACUGGAAAGCACAAAUUAGCUGACCAGUGGAAUACAAACUCCUACAGAAUGGUUGAUAAGCUACCAGACUUGCCUGUAUACAGCCUUAGGAUGGAAAAUGGAAAAAAUGUUUAAGACUAUUCACCGAAACCACCUCUUGCCAGCAGGGCAGUUAAUAGGUGAAGAGAACAAUAGUGAAUGUGGUUCCUCCCGGCCACCCAUUACUCGUUCAAGACUAAGGAAGCAAUUUCCUGCAGAAAGAAGCCUUACUGCACAACUUGAAUCUGCUGGCAAGGCAAACAGCGAGUCUUUAACCUCCCCUGGAGAAAAUGAUCCUCAUUCACAGAGUAGCUGUGAGGAGAAAUUCUUCCCCUAUUAUCUAACGCCUCUGUAGAAACGUGAAAGGGAAAAGAGGAUUUGGGUGCAGUUAUUUUAGUUUGGUUAAGAGACAGAGCAAGAAACAGGCCAACCUUAACCCUAAUAACGCGAGAUUUGCAGAAGCAGGGUUUGUGCGAGGUGGAUGGGAAAACUACAAGGGACCUUGCUUUAAGAUAAGAAUGGAAUGCAAUGUUGACUAAGAUAAUGGGAAGAAAAAUGUAUAAACAGGACACAGCUAUAUGUAAUGAAAGGGUAUAAAUAUUGCUUUAUAUUGUUUGUACUUUGAAGAUUUGCCUAAGGACAGACACUCUGUCUAAUUGCUGUCUUCCCUGCAAUUGCAUGAAUAAAUUGUCUCUGAGUUGUUGCAAAUAA